UUUCUGGGGGAGGCAGCUGUAGGGAAUUUUCCCACAAGGGAAGAAAGUUUGGAAGGAGCAACCCCCGCUUGAAUGAAGAAGGGUUUCGGUUGGUAAAACUUUGUUGUUAAAGAAGAACAUUUCUGAGAGUAACUGUUCAGGUAUUGACGGUAUUUAACCAGAAAGCCAGGGCUAAUUACGUGCCAGCAGCCGCGGUAAUACGUAGGUGGCAAGCGUUGUCCGGAUUUAUUGGGCGUAAAGCGAGCGCGGGCGGUUUUUUAAGUCUGAUGUGAAAGCCUUCGGCUCAACCGAAGAAGUGCAUCGGAAACUGGGAAACUUGAGUGCAGAAGAGGACAGUGGAACUCCAUGUGUAGCGGUGAAAUGCGUAGAUAUAUGGAAGAACACCAGUGGCGAAGGCGGCUGUCUGGUCUGUAACUGACGCUGAGGCUCGAAAGUAUGGGUAGCAAACAGGAUUAGAUACCCUGGUAGUCCAUACCGUAAACGAUGAAUGCUAAGUGUUGGAGGGUUUCCGCCCUUCAGUGCUGCAGCUAACGCAUUAAGCAUUCCGCCUGGGGAGUACGGCCGCAAGGCUGAAACUCAAAGGAAUUGACGGGGGCCCGCACAAGCGGUGGAGCAUGUGGUUUAAUUCGAAGCUACGCGAAGAACCUUACCAGGUCUUGACAUACUAUGCAAAUCUAAGAGAUUAGACGUUCCCUUCGGGGACAUGGAUACAGGUGGUGCAUGGUUGUCGUCAGCUCGUGUCGUGAGAUGUUGGGUUAAGUCCCGCAACGAGCGCAACCCUUAUUAUCAGUUGCCAGCAUUAAGUUGGGCACUCUGGUGAGACUGCCGGUGACAAACCGGAGGAAGGUGGGGAUGACGUCAAAUCAUCAUGCCCCUUAUGACCUGGGCUACACACGUGCUACAAUGGAUGGUACAACGAGUUGCGAACUCGCGAGAGUAAGCUAAUCUCUUAAAGCCAUUCUCAGUUCGGAUUGUAGGCUGCAACUCGCCUACAUGAAGUCGGAAUCGCUAGUAAUCGCGGAUCAGCAUGCCGCGGUGAAUACGUUCCCGGGCCUUGUACACACCGCCCGUCACACCAUGAGAGUUUGUAACACCCAAAAGUCGGUGGGGUAACCUUUAGGAACCAGCCGCCUAAGUGACAGAGGUGGGA
rnacentral:rRNA from 1 species